rnacentral:piRNA from 1 species
UGCUCUGGCCAUGGUCUCUCAUGUGAAGGC